UCCACCGUGAGGUGGAAUCUGAAGGAAGCCGAAGGUAAAAUCUUGGUCUGAGGAAUACAAAUUACAUAUAAGGCUUACUAAGGGUGGAUGAGUUUGCAAUACAAAACCAAGUCCAACACUGCCCAAACCCUUAGGAGUAAAUGUAGCAGAUAUAUGAGAUGAAAGUUGUUGCU
rfam:Clostridium tetanomorphum DSM 665 contig214, whole genome shotgun sequence.